rnacentral:rRNA from 1 species
UACAGGGGGGGCAAGCGUUGUUCGGAAUUACUGGGCGUAAAGGGUCUGUAGGUGGCCAACUAAGUCAGACGUGAAAUCCCUCAGCUUAACUGGGGAACUGCGUCUGAUACUGGAUGGCUUGAGUGCAGGAGAGGAAUGCGGAAUUCCAGGUGUAGCGGUGAAAUGCGUAGAUAUCUGGAGGAACACCGGUGGCGAUGGCGGCAUUCUGGACUGUAACUGACACUGAGAGACGAAAGCCAGGGGAGCAAACGGG